GAUUUAGAGUCAAUGGGUGGGGUUUAGGAUUUAGGAUUUAGGGUUUAGAGUGUAGAGUUUAGAGCUUAGGGUUUAGAGUUUAGGGGUGGGGUUUAGGGUUUAGGGUUUAGAGUUAAGGGGUGAGGUUUAGGAUUUAGGGUUUAGAGUUAAGGGGUGGGGUUUAGAAUUUAGGGUUUAGGGUUUAGAGUUUAGGGUUUAGAGUUUAGGUUUUAGGGUUUGGAGUUGGAGAGUUGGGUUUUGGGAUAAGAUUUCAAAUUUUGAAAAAUAAAAAAAUUUUAAAUUUUUCAAAAGAUA
rnacentral:lncRNA from 1 species